AGCCAGCAGCGGGGACAGAGCCGUUCCAGGCCAUCCCGGGGCUYUGGGGACCGGAGUGCUGCCCCGAGGUCACUCUGCACACACCGUGCCUGGAGCCCUUCUCGGAGAGGUCACCCAUGGACGGGGCUGGUUUCGGGCGUGAGAUGUUUGGGUAAAAGUGAAGAGAAAAAAAAGUAGUUCCAGCCCUGCUCCUGAAAUCCUUCCCUGCCUCAGUUUCCCCACCUGGAGAUAGGACACAGCGGCCGGUGGGGAGAAGGGCACGGUGCUGAGCCGGGAUGAAACACCAACGAGAUGCUUCUGGAAUGGAGAGAAUGGAGAGCAGGCUGGAGGGGGAAGGGGAAGAGCAGCCACGAGGAGGGCUCGGAUCUCUUCUCCGGCGGAGAGACGGGCCCAAGGGAGCCCGGAGCCCUGAAGGAGCGGCGCUGCUCGGCAAAGCCCGUCCUAACGCCCCGGCAAAGGGUGACCUUGUGCUCGGACAGCCUCCGAUCCGGCAGGAAGGGGAAGGAAGCGGAGGAGCAAUCAAUCCCCCAAACCGCGGCCGCGGAGGAGAUGGAGGGAGUGACAUUCGGCUGAGCCAGAAUUAGCAGCAGAUCUGUGGAGGGACCCCAUUUCCACCCUAUUAAUAAUUCAUCCCAGCUCUGCCUUUACCUGCUCAUAAACAGCAAACAGCUUGUUAGCGAGGACGCUUUUCUCCCCUUUUGCUGUCUGUGCCUUAAUAAGAACCCCUUGCAGAUGGCUGGGGGAGGGAGGUGGCAGGGGAAGGACACACGAGCSAGCAAAGCACCCCACCAACCCACCCUGAGCUUCCCAUCCUGUGCCACCCCAUCCCAAACUGAGCUGCCCUUUCCCUGCAGGGAUGAAGCUGUGAAAUAACCCCUCACCAGUGUCUGGGUGCUUU